UACGGAGGGUGCAAGCGUUAUCCGGAUUCACUGGGUUUAAAGGGUGCGUAGGCGGGCAGGUAAGUCCGUGGUGAAAUCUCUGAGCUUAACUCAGAAACUGCCAUGGAUACUAUUUGUCUUGAAUGUUGUGGAGGUAAGCGGAAUAUGUCAUGUAGCGGUGAAAUGCUUAGAUAUGACAUAGAACACCAAUUGCGAAGGCAGCUUACUUCACGAUCAUUGACACUGAGGCACGAAAGCGUCGGGAGCAAACAGG
rnacentral:rRNA from 1 species